rnacentral:lncRNA from 1 species
CACACACACACACACACACACACACACACACACACACACACACACACACACACACACUGACAUUCAUUCACAGCAGGACUGAAGGUCAUUUUCCUCUGUGGACUGUGACCUUCUGCUGACGGGGAGAAAAAACCCAAAGAGGAGGAAAACCAACCAGCCAUUUCACAAAGAUUACGUCAGUAGAAAGAACAGGAGGUUUAGUUCCUCAAAGUCUCCCAUGCUUUUCUUUCUUCGCUGUCCUUUGAUACCCAUAUUGCACCAGUGUGGAAAGUGGGUUCAUCCUAGGAGUGUGUUGAGUUGAAAUGAUGCACAGUUAGUACAGUAACUCUACUCAGAUUCUCAAGUGUUGUAGAGGUAGAUGUUGCUGGUUUUGUUAAUACUGAAUACAUGGAACUGACAGAUUAAGGAAAAAUAGGCCUAUUUGAACAUCUAUAAAUCAUUCAAGUGUUAUAUUACAUAUCUGAGUAUUAGCCUAGCAACCACGUUAGUUACUAUCAUCUCUGAGUUGUGACAUGCAGGGAUGAAGGAGUGCAGAGAAGGAAGGCCACCAUCUUCUGCUUGUGGGACACAUGCUUGUUUUCUCUCUGAAUAUGGAACACAUGCUUGUUAGUUAUUGUGAGGUAUGGGGACGUUUUCAGAGAACUGAGAGGAAACCCACGAACAAGACUCUUCAGCUGUUUCCUGUUGUUGUACCUCAGAAGACACCACAAGAUAGAGAGAGAGAGAGAGAGAGAGAGAGACAGAUAGACACAGAGAGAGAGACACAGAGAGAGAGAGAGACACACAGAGAGAAAGAGACACACAGAGACACACACAGAGAGAGAGAAAGAGACAGAGAGAGAGAGAGAGAGAGAGAGAGAGAGAGAGAGAGGGAUGUAUAUUAGACAUGGAGAUAGAGGCAGAGAGAGAUGGAAACAGACAGAGAGAGGUGGAACCUGAGAGAGAGAUGUCUGUAGGGGGUUACUGAUACUGUACUGAACCCAGCUGACAGAGAGAUAGAGAGAGAUGUGUGUAGGGGGUUACUGAUACUGUACUGAACCCAGCUGACAGAGAGAUAGAGAUGUGAUACUGUACUGAACCCAGCUGACAGAGAGAUAGAGAUGUGAUACUGUACUGAACCCAGCUGACAGAGAGAUAGAGAUGUGAUACUGUACUGAACCCAGCUGACAGAGAGAUAGAGAGAUGUACUAAACCCAGCUGACAGAGAGAUAGAGAGAGAUGUGAUACUGUACUGAACCCAGCUGACAGAGAGAAAGAGAGAGAGAUGUGAUACUGUACUGAACCCAGCUGACAGAGAGAUAGAGAGAGAUGUGAUACUGUACUGAACCCAUCUGACAGAGAGAUAGAGAGAGAUGUGAUACUGUACUAAACCCAGCUGACAGAGAGAUAGAGAGAUGUGAUACUGUACUGAACCCAGCUGACAGAGAGAUAGAGAGAGAUGUGAUACUGUACUAAACCCAGCUGACAGAGAGAAAGAGAGAGAUGUGAUACUGUACUGAACCCAGCUGACAGAGAGCUAGAGAGAGAUGUGAUACUGUACUAAACCCAGCUGACAGAGAGAUAGAGAGAGAUGUGAUACUGUACUAAACCCAGCUGACAGAGAGAUAGAGAGAGAUAUGUGAUACUGUACUGAACCCAGCUGACAGAGAGAUAGAGAGAGAUGUGAUACUGUACUAAACCCAGCUGACAGAGAGAUAGAGAGAGAUGUGAUACUGUACUAAACCCAGCUGACAGAGAGAUAGAGAGAGAUAUGUGAUACUGUACUGAACCCAGCUG